AUCUGUUACAGGAGCAACAGGGGGCACAUUUCAGGUGGGGCGACCAGGAAGGCCGCACUGUGGAGGCGACCUUUAACCCCUAGACGAUCUGGCGAGGCAGGCAUCACCAUCCCCUUUCUCAGAUGCAGAAACUGAGGCUCCACGUUUGUGAACUUUCCCAACGCCGCAGGCACAACCAGUCAGUAGCCAGGCCCAGGUCUGAACCCAGUGGGACCUUCACCUGGCUGUCCGCAGACGCCCUCUGGGUCCCAGCCCAAGGGGCUGGCCCUCAGUGUGUGUGGCAGGCCUGUCGUGGCGCCUGCGUCCUCCUUCCCUCCAGCCCACAGCAGCCGCAGCUCAGCGCUGUUAGGCAAGAGGUCUUCGGAGUGGGGUCUUGGCCCUGCGAUCUCCCAGCACUGUGGCUGGGGUUCGGAGUGCGACUUCCCCACCCAGCCCUUUGCUCCCUGUCAUUGGCCUGUACACACACCCACCUCUUGCUCUCACUCGACUUCUUGGGGCCCUUUCCAUCCGUGUGCCCCUUUUCCUGACUCUAAGCCUCAAGGCUAGAGUCCCAGGCUGUCGUCACCCAGGGUAGUUGUCACCAUCGAAUAAGCAGCAUCAGGCACACAGCAGAUGCUCUGGAAAUGGCAGGACCCCUCCCUAAGUGGGUGCCUCAGACUGGGGGCUGCACACAGCUGGCGCAAGGCCGGUAGCUGUGGAGCGUGGCGAGUGAGGGUCCCCCAGGCCAGGACGGGGAGGUGAUGGCAGGACACAGGGCUGUCUAGCGGGCGGUUGGGGUGCGCGUGUGUGCAAGUGUGCUGGGCUGCGACGUUGGAGACGGUGGGAAGUGUGGGGAGCGGGCAGUCGCCCGGAGGGUCCAGGCUGUCGGUCCAGGCUCUCAGUCCGGCUCUGCUGCUGACUGGUACCCGACCAGGAGCCAGGUCCACUGACGCUUGGGAGCCUCAGUUUCCCCACCUGGACAACGUCUGUAGGACAGCUCUGACGACUCAGUGAGGUCGUGCCCAACGCCCGGCUGUGGCAAACACCCCCAAAAUGGGGGUUAUGGCUCUGGCGGUGGGACAUGGGGGAAAACUGAAAUUUCCUAUUUGAUUCAUUCCUGUAUUCCCACAUGCCUCCCUUUUACUUUUUACAGUGAGAAUAUAUUGCUUUAAGAAUUAGAAAAAUAAAACAAGUGUCUCGAAGACUCCAAGUUCAAAUCUAGAAAAGACUGCCAUAAAAACUCCCACACUCUAGGCGGGAAGUCAGGCUGGAAAGGUAGGGAGAGUCAGCCCUACCACGUUUUUUAAAUUUUUAAGAUAAUUUUUUUUCAAAAGAAAACUUACUUUUAUAUCACUGGACUCAUUGCCCUGAACACUUCUCCACCCGUGCGUGUUCUCACGCAGCCGCGGUCAUGAGCACCGUCCUGGGUGCUCCACUUUCUGAGCCUCGCUCAUCUGUCCCCACGGGUCUGAGUGGCCCCAUCAUGUUACUUACAAUGGCCGUGGCUGUUUCACACGACCCAGGUGCUGCAAUUCAUGCCUUGCCCCUAACGGUUGUCUCGCCCCUAACGGUUCGCUCUUCCUUCCAUCACUGAUAAUGCCCGUGUGCACUGAGAACUCUGUCGGGCACUGGGGACCGAAGGUCGACCAGAUCGAAUUCCUGCUCUUGGUGUAACUGUGCAGCUAGUUAGCUAAUAUUAAUAAGAAAGGGGGCAAAGGGAGUUCAACAUGGAGCUUAAUGAACCAGAAGAUAUGAGCCCAUCUGCUUCACCAGGAAGCGACAGCUUCAUACCCCAGGGGACCACAGUGACAAGUGGAUUAACACUCAUCCCCCCGCUUCGGUAAUGAAUUGUUGGGGGGCACAGGGGAUGGUGCUUGACCAGAAAGGCCUGUCAGUCUAACUAGGGGGUGGACCCAUCAAAAGCCCGAAAGCGUAGGACGGUCUCUGGUUAUUUUGACAAAGCACCUGGCCCAUCCCAAAUGCAUGUCGUGUAAUCCCAGGGGAACAAAGAAGCCCUCUGUCUGUCUGUCUGUCUGUCUCUCUCUCUCUCACCCGUGACCUGCACUCACCUUUGGUUUGUGAGCCCUCUCCCCUGGGAGCACUAGGUCACGUGGCCCAGCAGCUUCCAGGGCCCACGGCUCCCAAACACUCAGCUUUAAUACGAAGCUGGGACUCCGGACAGCGGCUUCGUCUUAGCCCUGCAGAGGACGCUGCUAGACGUGCUCCACGGCGGGAUGGAAGGGGACGGGACACGGAAAACCCAGUGGGCGGCUUCUGUCGCCGCCUGAACAAACCCGGCCACACCGCAAGCUCCCGUGUGUGGGGCCUCGGGACGCUUCCCCCUCAAUCCCGUGGAACGGCCCAAUUCCCACCAACAACACCAGGAAUUUCACAAAGGGGACCUUGGGGUAAGGAAACAAAGACUCUAGCACAGUGAUGCGGGCCACGUCGCUGAUGCUUUCUUAUCCAGUGUUGUUUGAUUCAAAUGAUUUUUCUCUAUUUUUCUGUUUUAAUUGUGCUUUUUUGUCAUUCUUAUAGCAGUUAAUUAUUUUUAAGUUGCGGUGAAAUAUAUAUAACAUAAAAAGAUCAUAUGACCAUUUGAAAAGGUAGCUGUACUACAUUUCAAAAAGGAACAUCUGAGAGAAAUUCAUAAAAACGACUCCAGGCAGCGGUGAUGGCGGAGGGUGAGCCUCAGGCCCCCUGGGGAUGUCCCAUCAAAUGGUCACAGGAGGGGGAGGCCGGGUCCCAGGGGCUAGCCAAGCAGACCCAGCGUGGCGCCUUGAAGCUGGUGGGCAGUGAGGUCAAGUUGCAGGGCUGGGGGCAGCUGAGCUGAGCUGACGAGAAGAGAAGGAAGAGGAAGACACACACAGCAGGGCUCAGGUAUCCAUAGGCUCCCAGCCCCAGGGCGACCAGGAAAGGGCCCAUCCCUCAGCAGCGCGGUUUGGUGGAGUGCGUCAAAACCCUUCCGUGUGGCUUAGUGUUACACGUCAGCGUGGCUGGGCUGCGGUGCCCAGAUGGUUGUUUGCAUGUUACUCUGACUGGGUCCGUGGGUGAGACUGCCAUUUAAGCAGGUGGACUUUAGAAAUAAAGCAGAUUGCCCUUCCGUUACGUGGGUGGGCCUCAUCCAGUCAGCUGAAGGCCUCAGAAGAAAAAAGACUGACUUCCCCUGAUCAGAACGUGGAGCCGGAAAGGAAGAGCAGUGAAAGUCUCCUGGAGAUACAGAAUCUCCACUCGAGUCUGGAAUGCCGCUGAGUCAUCAUCCCCGGGGCAGAGGUACCGAGGGAUCCUUCCCUGCCCCCUUUGCAUUGAGGCUGAACUACUUGCAGAAGAGUCAUUUCCUGUUGGUGGCAGGUCAGGCUCUUUGACACUGUUUGCUUCUGAUCCUGGCUCGAGACUGGACCUGAGAAGCCCACCCCUGGCCUGACCUAAGGCCGCCUGGGGGGAGUGUCCAGGCGAAGGCCUUUCCCGUCCAGCUGGGCUCCAAUCCACGAGCCAGCGCCUCGCCAAGCAGGACCCCAGCAGACAGCGGUGGGCCGAGGGGUUGGGCCAGACCACAGGACCGUCCCGGGCAGUGUGAUCGACCACCUCCCCACAGGCGGCAGCUGGAAACCAACCCCUGCCUGUCCCAAGGUGCAGGGGCCCUGGUGGUCUGGACUGACAGAUUUCCAGGGAGAGCACCCUGGCUCUUUUGAGUAAAAUGCUUAAAAAAAUUUUUUUUAAAGCCUGGUUAACAGUAUUGUUCCCCAGUUACUCAAUAGUAACUAGCCUAAGAAGCAAAUUAAAAUAAAAAUAAAAGCAACCCUG